CAGCACCUCAAGUGGUCAGGAUGAUUAUUGGGCCUAAAGCAUCCGUAGCCGGCGCUGUAAGUUUUCGGUUAAAUCUGUACGCACAACGUACAGGCUGCCGGGAAUACUGCAGCGCUAGGGAGUGGGAGAGGUAGACGGUACUCGGUAGGAAGGGGUAAAAUCCUUUGAUCUAUUGAUGACCACCUGUGGCGAAGGCGGUCUACCAGAACACGUCCGACGGUGAGGGAUGAAAGCUGGGGGAGCAAACCGGAUUAGAGACCCGAGUAGUCC
rnacentral:rRNA from 1 species